rnacentral:rRNA from 1 species
CAGCCCCUCGAGUGGUGGGGAUGAUUAUUUGGCCUAAAGCGUCCGUAGCCGGCCGAGCAAGUCUUCCGUUAAAUCCAGCGUCUCAAGCGUUUGACCGCGGGAGAUACUACACGGCUAGAGAGUGGGAGAGGUCAGCGGUAUUCUGGGGGUAGGGGCGAAAUCCUUUGAUCCCGGGAGGACCACCAGUGGCGAAGGCUGCUGACUAGAACACGUCUGACGGUCAGGGACGAAAGCUGGGGUAGCGAACCGGAUUAGAUACCCGAGUAGUCC